rnacentral:rRNA from 1 species
GAUGAACGCUGGCGGCGUGCCUAAUACAUGCAAGUCGAGCGAACGGACGAGAAGCUUGCUUCUCUGAUGUUAGCGGCGGACGGGUGAGUAACACGUGGAUAACCUACCUAUAAGACUGGGAUAACUUCGGGAAACCGUAGCUAAUACCGGAUAAUAUUUUGAACCGCAUGGUUCAAAAGUGAAAGACGGUCUUGCUGUCACUUAUAGAUGGAUCCGCGCUGCAUUAGCUAGUUGGUAAGGUAACGGCUUACCAAGGCAACGAUGCAUAGCCGACCUGAGAGGGUGAUCGGACACACUGGAACUGAGACACGGUCCAGACUCCUACGGGAGGCAGCAGUAGGGAAUAUUCCGCAAUGGGCGAAAGCCUGACGGAGCAACGCCGCGUGAGUGAUGAAGGUCUUCGGAUCGUAAAACUCUGUUAUUAGGGAAGAAAAUAAGUGUAAGUAACUGUGCACAUCUUGACGGUACCUAAUCAGAAAGCAACGGCUAACUACGUG